GACGAACGCUGGCGGCGUGCUUAACACAUGCCAGUCGAACGGAAAGGCCCUGCUUUUGUGGGGUGCUCGAGUGGCGAACGGGUGAGUAACACGUGAGUAACCUGCCCUUGACUUUGGGAUAACUUCAGGAAACUGGGGCUAAUACCGGAUAGGAGCUCCUGCUGCAUGGUGGGGGUUGGAAAGUUUCGGCGGUUGGGGAUGGACUCGCGGCUUAUCAGCUUGUUGGUGGGGUAGUGGCUUACCAAGGCUUUGACGGGUAGCCGGCCUGAGAGGGUGACCGGCCACAUUGGGACUGAGAUACGGCCCAGACUCCUACGGGAGGCAGCAGUGGGGAAUAUUGCACAAUGGGCGGAAGCCUGAUGCAGCAACGCCGCGUGCGGGAUGACGGCCUUCGGGUUGUAAACCGCUUUCGCCUGUGACGAAGCGUGAGUGACGGUAAUGGGUAAAGAAGCACCGGCUGACUACGUG
rnacentral:rRNA from 1 species